rnacentral:rRNA from 1 species
GAUGAACGCUGGCGGCGUGCCUAAUACAUGCAAGUCGAGCGAACAGGCGAGGAGCUUGCUCCUCUGACGUUAGCGGCGGACGGGUGAGUAACACGUGGAUAACCUACCUAUAAGACUGGGAUAACUUCGGGAAACCGGAGCUAAUACCGGAUAAUAUAUUGAACCGCAUGGUUCAAUAGUGAAAGACGGUUUUGCUGUCACUUAUAGAUGGAUCCGCGCCGCAUUAGCUAGUUGGUAAGGUAACGGCUUACCAAGGCAACGAUGCGUAGCCGACCUGAGAGGGUGAUCGGCAACACUGGAACUGAGACACGGUCCAGACUCCUACGGGAGGCAGCAGUAGGGAAUCUUCCGCAAUGGGCGAAAGCUUGACGGAGCAACGCCGCGUGAGUGAUGAAGGUCUUCGGAUCGUAAAACUCUGUUAUUAGGGAAGAACAAAUGUGUAAGUAACUAUGCACGUCUUGACGGUACCUAAUCAGAAAGCCACGGCUAACUACGUG